CUGCUCCUAGAAUGACACAGAAAUAUGUCCAGAGGUUAGAGCUGCUUUCCUGGCCUGAAGGAUAUACACAGAAGUCGUAGGAAAAACACAGAAUGGGAAGCAGUGCCUUGGUCAGGAACUAUACUUCUAAAAUCAAGACUAGGGGCUACAAUGCUGACCUGCUAGAAAAUUAUGUUUUUGAUUCUCUUCUAUAAUAUUUAGUAAAUCACAAAAUCUUUGCUUAUGGCAAAAUGCUGUUUUAUAACAUGAAGAUAGUGAUGCCUUAUCCAAUCUUUGCUUUUAAAAGUUUGUAUGAUUCUUAAUUGAGCAUUUUAAAACCCCACUAUGUCGUAUUAUUUUGAGCCUUAAGUGCUGAUGCUGACAAUUAAUGAAUGAAUAAAGAGAAAACCCAAGAACUGUGCUGCGAAAUUGGAGAGACGAGACCUGCAUCAGUUCUUGAGUCUGUGUUUCAACUAUAUAAGUAGAAUUCAAUUGCUUUGGAAUCCCUGCUCUAUGGACCAAAGGGGUCAUUAAAUGAAUUCUAAAAUCCUUGCAGAUCUAACAGUUUAUGAUUCUAUAACCUCAAUGAAGAUAGAAUCUAUCUUGUUUAUUUUUCAGUUACUUUCGCACCAACCCAAACAUGAGGUAGACAGCCUGUGGGAAAAAUACUGGAGCAGGCAUAUGUGAAAAUGUAAUGAGAAAAAGUCACAAAAGGAAAAUAUUGAGAGGAAUGAUGCCACUGAACGGGGACAGUCCACUGUCAUUGACAUGAGUACCAAGUGGACACUGGCCUGAUGGGUACACCUUAUGCUGCUGUUGCUAGUGCUAGCAGAGAAUUUUCAGUGGCCAGCCCUGAUGUCACCUUCUCUGGGAAGCUACUCCCAGUCUUCCUCUUCUGGUAGAAACCCGAUCACUUGCCAAUUUCAGAUCUACUGAUCUGGGCACAUUUUUGAGUUCCCCCUAAGAUAAUAAAUUACUAGAAACCAACACUGAGUUCAUGCCUGGCACAGUCAGUGCCAAGUACAUGUUCUAGAGAUGAGCAGAGGAAGAUGGGAAAUGACUAGAGAAAGAAGAAAGAAGAACAAGAGGAGAACAAAAUAA